CCUCGACAGAGUCGACAUGGGAAGGAUGUUUCCAAAAAUGGGACCGUCUAGGACCACAGCCUCUGAAUAAAGGGACUACUCUUUCGAACAGAGGUGCACCAUGCAAAACAGUCCGUCACGGGUAAAGCCCUCCCCACCAUUAAGCAAUCUGUAUGAAGUGCUGGUGCAGGAAAUCGGCAUCCAUCAUCAAGGACCCCCAUCAUGCAGACCAUUCUCUCUUCUCACAGUGGUCGUCAGGGAGGAGGUACUGGAGCCUCAAGACUCACAACACCAGGCUGAUAACAACUUUACUUUGAACUUUGAUGCUGACCAGAUGAAUCACGGCUUGGUCUGGCAACUGUUCUGUCUGUGACCUCAAGAGACGGCAGAGCUGUGGACACAUCUCAGCAGGUACUCCGUAACCUCAUCCUUGACAAUCGACUCCAACAACUUCCCAACCACGGAUGUCAAGCUAACAGACAAAGACUGACAAACAAUCAAGGUUCGUAAAAGGACAAACUGUGCAAGUAAAAGCGAUAUUCAGAACGUCAGCUGUAAAGACCUUCAGAGUGAGUCCGCAGGUUGUGGAAUCAGUUUAGUGUUGAGGUGAGUGAAGUUAUCCACACUGGUUCAGGAG